rnacentral:rRNA from 1 species
GAUGAACGAUGGCGGCGUGCCUAAUACAUGCAAGUCGAGCGAACGGACGAGAAGCUUGCUUCUCUGAUGUUAGCGGCGGACGGGUGAGUAACACGUGGAUAACCUACCUAUAAGACUGGGAUAACUUCGGGAAACCGGAGCUAAUACCGGAUAAUAUUUUGAACCGCAUGGUUCAAAAGUGAAAGACGGUCUUGCUGUCACUUAUAGAUGGAUCCGCGCUGCAUUAGCUAGUUGGUAAGGUAACGGCUUACCAAGGCAACGAUGCAUAGCCGACCUGAGAGGGUGAUCGGCCACACUGGAACUGAGACACGGUCCAGACUCCUACGGGAGGCAGCAGUAGGGAAUCUUCCGCAAUGGGCGAAAGCCUGACGGAGCAACGCCGCGUGAGUGAUGAAGGUCUUCGGAUCGUAAAACUCUGUUAUUAGGGAAGAACAUAUGUGUAAGUAACUGUGGACAUCUUGACGGUACCUAAUCAGAAAGCCACGGCUAACUACGUG